AUUUUGAAAUAAAGUAAGGCCCUUAGAGUGAAGGUUAGGACAUGAAGUUAAGCACAGAAACAGAAAGUGGUUAGGGAUCCCAAACUGAGGUCAAACAGCUCAAAGGAACAGUAACAAAGGUCAAUGUGUGAUGUCAUAAGGUGGAUAUUUCUUUGGACUCGUCAGCUGAGCUGUCUGAGAGUUUGUUGAAGUGAAAUGAGACAUUCAAAGAUGCAGCAGUGUCCUUCUUUUACAUCACUGAGACUACAGGGAGACACUGAGGACCACUAUCUACGGUGAGCCUGAAGGGACAAAAUAGCAUGAGAUUAA